CCAGAAGUGAGUGUAGGGUGGAGAUUAAAAAAAAUAAUAAUAAAAUAAAUAAAAAAUGAAGCAAUUAGCUUCAUAUGAGGAUAGGAGUAGAGACAAGAGUUUUAAACUGUGUUUUGUUUUAAAAUAUGACAGACUCAUUGCAUUGACUGUCUGUCUUUCUUAGAUCUCUUGAGGCAGUCAGUAAAGGAAGGGAAAUGAUGGACUGCUGGGAGAAAGAAAUGGAGGAGCACGAGACUCUGCAACAGCUUUGCCACACUCAUCUAGUGUAACUUCUAGUACAUGCCAUCAGCUAGAGGGGUUUUCAAUAUUUAGUUUGAAAGGGACCAUCACAACCUCCUCAGCACAACACAUUAUCCUAUGGGUCUUUGAAGUAAAUUCUGAAUAAACAUACUAGCAAAGCAAACUUGUAAAAAUCCCGUUCCUAGAAUGAUGUGGGUUGUUUUUUCUUUCUGGUCCUCUUGCUGUUAACCGCUGGAAUCUCAACUGAGCUGAGAAGAAUAAGAAGAAGCAAUGCUUCAAGAGCUCCCUCUCUAGACUGAGUGCAUCUCUGAGGAGCAGCAGAUUGAGGGCUUAUGUUUUUUGGCUUACUGGAUUCAAAAGCAGCUUGGGGAUGGAUCUUGGGACAUCAAGAAUUUCUCUUGAGUUCUGGACUUUUGAAUGGUUACUCAAUUCAGCUGACACUCAUGAAUGAGAAAUUCUGGCUCCUGUGGUUGCAGAAAAAAUCCUGAGAAUAGUGCCAGGGCAUGUAAGAGGUCCAGGUCCAGAAACUAAAAGGAAUCAUCAAAACUUACGUAAGGAUUGUUCUUUUGUUGAACUACAGUUUAACUUUGUAGAACUGAGAACUGUGUGGUAUAUUUAAGAUUCCUCAAAAACUUCCUCAAAACUUCCAAAAGAGAAUGGCCUAUUUUUACUUAUAGUUCCAUGUAAAAUACAAAUAAGAUCUAAUAUUUAUCCUGCUGAAAUAUGUGAACUUUUUACAGUGUAUUUUAUGAAAGCAUAUAUGUUUUCUAUUUUGU
rnacentral:lncRNA from 1 species